GAUUGCCUCAGUAACGGCGAGUGAAGCGGCANCAGCUCAAAUUUGAAAUCUGGCCCCAGGCCCGAGUUGUAAUUUGCAGAGGAUGCUCUUGGCGAGGUGCCUUCCGAGUUCCCUGGAACGGGACGCCAUAGAGGGUGAGAGCCCCGUACGGUUGGACACCAAGUCUUUGUAAAGCUCUUUCGACGAGUCGAGUAGUUUGGGAAUGCUGCUCAAAAUGGGAGGUAUAUUUCUUCUAAAGCUAAAUAUUGGCCAGAGACCGAUAGCGCACAAGUAGAGUGAUCGAAAGAUGAAAAGCACUUUGAAAAGAGGGUUAAACAGCACGUGAAAUUGUUAAAAGGGAAGCGCUUAUGACCAGACUUGCGCCCGGUGAAUCACCCAGCUCUCGCGGCUGGGGCACUUUGCCGGCUCAGGCCAGCAUCAGCUCGCUGUCGGGGACAAAAGCUUCGGGAACGUAGCUCUCUUCGGGGAGUGUUAUAGCCCGUUGCAUAAUACCCUUCGGCGGGCUGAGGUACGCGCUCCGCAAGGAUGCUG
rnacentral:rRNA from 1 species